rnacentral:rRNA from 1 species
UACGAAGGGGGCUAGCGUUGUUCGGAUUUACUGGGCGUAAAGCGCACGUAGGCGGAUCGAUCAGUCAGGGGUGAAAUCCCAGAGCUCAACUCUGGAACUGCCUUUGAUACUGUCGAUCUGGAGUAUGGAAGAGGUGAGUGGAAUUCCGAGUGUAGAGGUGAAAUUCGUUAGUAUUCGGAGGAACACCAGUGGGCGAAGGCGGCUCACUGGUCCAUUACUGA